rnacentral:rRNA from 1 species
GGUAAGUAGUGGCAAGCGGCAGGGAUGAUAGGGAGGGGGGAAGCGGUACUGGGAAGUGCUGGGGGUGAAGGUGGCGGAGGCGGUUUCGUAAGUCUGUCGUGAAAUCCCCGGGCUUAACCUGGGAAUGGCGAUGGAGACUGCGAGGCUAGAGUUUGGCAGAGGGGGGUAGAAUUCCACGUGUAGCAGUGAAAUGCGUAGAGAUGUGGAGGAACACCGAUGGCGAAGGCAGCCCCCUGGGUCAAAACUGACGCUCAUGCACGAAAGCGUGGGGAGCAAACAGGAUUAGAUACCCGAGUAGUC